AACGAUAAUGGGGGUGAAAACCCCCCACGCCGGAAGACCAAGGUUUCCUGUCCCAUGCUAAUCAGGGCAGGGUAAGUCGGCCCCUAAGGCGAGGCAGAAAUGCGUAGUCGAUGGGAAACGGGUUAAUAUUCCCGUACUUUUAUAUACAGUGAUGGGGUGACGGAGAAGGCUAGGCUGGCGUGGCGUUGGUUGUCCACGUGAAAGUGCGUAGGCUGGUGACUUAGGUAAAUCCGGGUUGCUAAGGCCGAGACACGAGACGAGCUACUACGGUAGCGAAGCAGUUGAUGCCCGGCUUCCAGGAAAAUCCUCUAAACGUAUGUAUAUAAGAACCGUACCCCAAACCGACACAGGUGGUCAGGUAGAGAAUACUAAGGCGCUUGAGAGAACUCGGGUGAAGGAACUCGGCAAAAUAGUACCGUAACUUCGGGAGAAGGUACGCCCCUGUUUGUGAAGGACUUGCUCCGUAAGCAGAUGGGGGUCGCAGUGACCAGAUGGCUGGGACUGUUUAUUAAAAACACAGCACUGUGCUAAAUCGAAAGAUGACGUAUACGGUGUGACACCUGCCCGGUGCCGGAAGGUUAAUUGAUGGGGUUAGCGUAAGCGAAGCUCUUGAUCGAAGCCCCGGUAAACGGCGGCCGUAACAAUAACGGUCCUAAGGUAGCGAAAUUCCUUGUCGGGUAAGUUCCGACCUGCACGAAUGGUGUAACCAUGGCCAUGCUGUCUCCACCCGAGACUCAGUGAAAUUGAAAUCGCAGUGAAGAUGCUGUGUACCCGCACCUAGACGGAAAGACCCCGUGAACCUUUACUACAGCUUGGCACUGAACAUUGACCCUACAUGUGUAGGAUAGGUGGGAGGCUUUGAAGCGUUGUCGCCAGAUAGCGUGGAGCCAUCCUUGAAAUACCACCCUUGUAUGUUUGAUGUUCUAACACUGACCCGUUAUCCGGGUUGUGGACAGUGUCUGGUGGGUAGUUUGACUGGGGCGGUCUCCUCCCAAAUAGUAACGGAGGAGCACGAAGGUUAGCUAAUCACGGUCGGACAUCGUGAGGUUAGUGCAAUGGCAUAAGCUAGCUUAACUGCGAGACAGACACGUCGAGCAGAUACGAAAGUAGGUCAUAGUGAUCCGGUGGUUCUGAAUGGAAGGGCCAUCGCUCAACGGAUAAAAGGUACUCCGGGGAUAACAGGCUGAUACCGCCCAAGAGUUCAUAUCGACGGCGGUGUUUGGCACCUCGAUGUCGGCUCAUCACAUCCUGGGGCUGAAGUCGGUCCCAAGGGU
rnacentral:rRNA from 1 species